GAUGAACGCUGGCGGCGUGCCUAAUACAUGCAAGUCGAACGAAAAGACGCUGAGCUUGUGCCUCUGACGUUAGCGGAGGGCGGGUGAGUAACACGUGGAUCACCUCCCUAUCAGUCUGGGAUAACUUCGGAAAACCGGAGCUAAUACCAGAUAAUAUAUUGCACCGCAUGGUUCAAUAGUGAAAGACGGCUUUGCUGUCAGUUAUAGCUGGUUCCGGGCCGCAUUGGCUGGUUGGUAAGGUCACAGCUUACCAAGGCAACGAUGCGUAGCCGAACUGAGAGGGUGGUCGGCCACACGAGAACUGGGACGCGGUCCAGACGACUAAGGGAGGCAGCAGAAGGGAAUGGUAGGCAAUGGGGGGAAGCCUGACGGAGCAGAGCCGCGUGAGAGAUGAAGGUCUUGGGAUCGGAAAGCCCUGUUGUGAGGUAAGAACAGAUGUGGAAGGAGAGAAGGACGUAGUGACGGUACCUAAUCAGAAAGCCACGGCUAACUACGUG
rnacentral:rRNA from 1 species